AGUCGAGGGGCAGCGGGGUUGUAGCAAUACAACUGCCGGCGACCGGCGCACGGGUGAGUAACACGUAUGUAACCUGCCCUCUGCAGGGGGAUAAGCGGAAGAAAUUCCGUCUAAUACCGCAUAAUACAAUUUGGAGACAUCUCCGGGUUGUCAAAGGAGUGAUCCGGCAGAGGAUGGACAUGCGGCGCAUUAGCUAGUCGGCGGGGUAACGGCCCACCGAGGCUACGAUGCGUAGGGGUUCUGAGAGGAAGGUCCCCCACACUGGUACUGAGACACGGACCAGACUCCUACGGGAGGCAGCAGUGAGGAAUAUUGGUCAAUGGGCGGAAGCCUGAACCAGCCAAGUCACGUGAGGGAAGACGGUCCUAUGGAUUGUAAACCUCUUUUGCAGGGGAGCAAGGCGCGGUACGUGUACCGCGAAGGAGAGUACCCUGAGAAAAAGCAUCGGCUAACUCCGUGCCAGCAGCCGCGGUAAUACGGAGGAUGCGAGCGUUAUCCGGAUUUAUUGGGUUUAAAGGGUGCGCAGGCGGACUGUUAAGUCAGCGGUAAAAUGUCGGUGCUCAACACCGGCCGGCCGUUGAAACUGGCAGCCUUGAGUGAGCGAGAAGUAUGCGGAAUGCGUGGUGUAGCGGUGAAAUGCAUAGAUAUCACGAGGAACUCCGAUUGCGAAGGCAGCAUACCGGCGCUCAACUGACGCUCAGGCACGAAAGCGUGGGU
rnacentral:rRNA from 1 species